rnacentral:misc_RNA from 1 species
AAAUCAGAGUGUUUUAUGGCACUCUUUAACAAAAAUCCAUACCCACCUUGUGUGCAACGUAAAGAGAGUGAAGAGAGAGAGGUUUGCAAAAGCCUUAAACUCUUACCUCCCUUCAACAUAUACAUUUCUACUCGUCCUAUUGUCUGAACCUGUUAGAGAAUACUAAUUCUUAAACA